AAAAGUAAAUAAACGCCCUCAAGUUAGGAAUGAACGGAGGAAAUGGGUUAAACGAGAAUAAAUAAUUGAAGGCAGAGAGGUAAAGAACUUCCUCUUUCAACGCAUCUCAAAAUUUGGCGUGGAUGCAGAUCACCUACAGAGUAUGAUUAUUCAUCUUUACAUUGCCUUGUUUUGAGGGUCUCACUCUGUUGCCCAGGAUGGAGUGCAGUGGCACAGUGACGGCUCACUACAACGUUCACCUCCCGGGCAUAGGUGAUUCUCCUACCUCAGCCUCCCAAGUAUCUCGGACUACAGGCGUGCACCACCACGUCCAGCUAAUUUUUGUAUUUUUUGUAGAGACAGGGUCUUACCAUGUUGCCCAAGGUGGUCUGGAACUCCUGGGAUCACGCAAUCCUGCCUCCUUGGCCUCCCAAAGUGCUGGGAUUACAGGCGUGAGCCACCAUGCCUGGCCUAUUACUGAUAUACAAAUAGUGUUUUGUAUAUUGUUUUCACUUAAUAAUGAACAUCUUUCUGUAUCAGCAAAUAUCCAUCUGCUUCCUCUUGAAUGACUGCAUAAUACUCGAUUUGUCUUAUCACAUAUUAAACCAAUAUCCUACAGUUGGACAUUAAGGCUAUUUCCAAUUUUUCACUUUAUAAAUAUAUCCACUGUGGACCUACUUAAAAGAUAAAUCUUUUUUAUUUAUUUAUUUAUUUAUUUUUUUGAGACGGAGUCUCACUCUGUCACCCAGGCUGGAGUGCAGUGGCGCCAUCUGGGCUCACUACAAGCUCCGCCUCCCAGGUUCCCGCCAUUCUCCUGCCUCAGCCUCCCGAGUAGCUGAGACUACAGGUGCCUGCCACCACGCCCAGCUAAUUUUUUGUACUUUGUUUUAGUAGAGACGAGGUUUCACCGUGUUAGCCAGGAUGGUCUCGAUCUCCUGACCUCGUGAUCCACCCGUAAAAGCUAAAUCUUUUUGUGCAUCCUUCAAAUAAAAUUCCCAGGAAUCUCUCCCUAAAAAUUGGAUGUCCCCAGUCAGCAAAGUCCACAGAUCCUAAAUCAGGCAAUCCUUAAAGUCAAGGUCAGUUCUUAAGAGAAACUUUGAGUUCCCAGGGCCUCCUGCAGUACCAGGCAUUCAGAGAGUAUUCAGCAAGAGCUUGAUUUUUUUUUUUUUUUUUUUUUGAGACGGAGUCUCGCUGUGUCACCCAGGCAGGAGUGCAGUUGUGCCAUCUCAGCUCACUGCAACCUCCGCCUCCCAGGUUCAAGUGAUUCUCCUGCCUCAGCCUCCUGAGUAGCUGGGACUACAGGUACACGCCACCCGCCUGGCUAAUUUUUGUAUUUUUUAGUAGAGACGGGGUUUCGUCAUACUGGCCAGGCUAGUCUCAAACUCCUGACCUCGUGAUCUGCCCGCUCAGCCUCCCAAAGUGCUGGGAUUACAGGCGUCAGCCACCGCACCCGGCCAAGAGCUUCAUUUUUAUAAAAUUGAGCCAGGUCCUAUUGUAAGAACUUUGUAGGAAGUAUCCCAUGUACCCCCACAGACCCUGAAAAGACUGUUCCACACAGGUGAGGAAACUGAGGCUUAAGGAAGCUAGAGGGCUGGCCCAUAGACUCUCAGUAGCCUCUAUGAGGUUUUGGCCUCUACACCUAAUAUGGUUUGGCUGUGUCCCCACCCAAAUCUCAUGUUGAAUUGUACUUCCCAUAAUCCCCACAUAUCGUGGGAAGGACCCCGUGGUAGGUAAUUGAAUCAUGGGGGCGGAUACUCCCAUGCUGUUCUCGUGAUAGUGAGUGAGUUCUCACAAGAUCUGAUGGUUUUAUAAGGUGCUUUUCCCCCUUUGCUCGGCACUACUUCUUCCUGCUGCCACAUAAAGAAGGACGUUUGCUUCCCUUUCUGCCAUGAUUGUAAGUUUCCUGAGGCCUCCCAGCCCUGCGGAACUGGAGUUAAUUAAACCUCUUUCCUUUAUAAAUUACCCAGUCUUGGACAGUUCUUUAUAGCAGUGUGAGAACAGACUAAUACAACACCUCAACCCUGACCUAUGAAGUAACCAGGCUCCUAGGCUGAGAAAGGAGCAGGAACAUUAACCAAGAGAGAAUCCAACCCGUUCAUGCCUGAUGAUGAAACUGAGGUUCAAGCCAAUGACAAGCCUGAAGCCACAUGGCUAGUGAGUGGCAGAGUCAGAACUCAAACCCAAAUCCACCUGACCCCAAACUUCAUGUAUCUUGAACUACAGGCUCCAUCUCACUGUUCACACUCUCACCCACCUCCACCCAUCAAAGGUGCCUCUAGACCUUUGCUUGUGUUGUUUGUUCUCUGCCUGACAUGCCUCCCCCUCAGUCGCUCUCAGUUGAAACCUGGCUUAGUCAUCAAGUGCCUGCUCAGCAGCAAGACCUCUUCUCUUCACAGAGCCUUUGUUGAGCCCCACCACUGGAAUUAACCUCUUCCUUCCAGACCAGUUUGGUGGUGCCCCUAAUCCACAGUUUCCCAACCUCAGCCCUACUGACACUGGGGCUGGAUAAUCUUUGUCGUGGGGGCUGUCGUGUGCACUGCAGGAUAUGGAGCAGUACCCCUGCUUUCCACCCACGAGAUGCCAUGGCACCCUCCUCAAGUUGCAACAACCAAAAUAUGUCUUCAGACAUUGCCACUGUCCCCUAGGGUACUAAAUCACCUCUAUGGAGAACCACUGUCCUAAGCUACAAUACUCACUGCCCUCUGUUUUGAGCCAUAAAUAGUUGUGUCUGUGUCUAUCUUACCAGUAAAGCCUGGGUUCUCAAACUAAGUUGUCAGCAGCAGACAGACAGGUAACCCUGGUGUAGCAGGGGCAAACUGGCCUUCUGAUGUCCCGGCAACAGGGGUCCAUCACACUCAGCCGGUGGUUGUCGUGCAGGACUGUGGGCCCAUUGUUGCUAGAUCUGAUUUUUCAAGACAUUUUCUUUUUUUCGUUUGUUUUUGUUUUGUUUUAGAUGGAGUCUAACUCUGUUGCCCAGGCUGUAGUGCAAUGGCACGAUCUCAACUCACCACAACUUCCACCUCCCAGGUUUAAGUGAUUCUCCUGCCUCAGCCUUACAAGUAGCUGGGAUUACAGGUGCCCGCCACCACGCCCGGCCAAUUUUGUGUAUUUUUAGUAGAGAUGGGGUUUCACCAUGUUGGCCAGGCUAGUCUCGAACUCCCUACCUCAGAUGAUCCACCUGCCUUGGCCUCCCAAAGUGCUGGGAUUACGGGCGUGAGCCACCGCGCCCAGCUCAAGACAUUUUCAUGUAUAAUUUCCAUGUUUAAAAAAAAAAUGCUGGCAAACAAUUCAAUUCUGAAACAAAGGAACAAAAACAAACCAUGUGCCCCAGAAAGUCAUCCAUGGACUGACUCUGGCCCGUGGGCUUCCAAUCUGCAAACUCUCUCUAGAACGUGACCUCUGCUUCAGGCACCAAGGCAGCCUGCAUGUUCACUAACGUGCAGGUCCUUAAAUCUCCUGCAAAAUAGCCAAGGGGCUGUAGUGUUCCACCAGCUCCAAGAGUUGCAAAAUCAGCAUUUUAAAUUACAGUCAUGAGCAGACAAGUGGGGUCUGUUGACACAUGUUGGGUAAGCCUCCCCUCUAGGGAGGAUUAUCCCCCCUCCCCCACACCACAAUCCAUCACCCUCACACUCAGGCCUGAAGCAACCCCCUGUGCCAGCCUCCCCGAGCUCCAGCUUCCCAGUGAGAUCAAAGAUCCUUGGAAGGCGGUUUCCUGCCACCUGCACCAGUGAGGACAAAGCCCUCUCCCUCUCCCUCUCCCUCUGCCCCUCCCCUCUUCCCUCUUUCCACGGUCUCCCUCUGAUGCCGAGCCGAAGCUGGACUGUACUGCUGCCAUCUCUGCUCACUGCAACCUCCCUGCCUGAUUCUCCUGCCUCAGCCUGCUGAGUGCCUGCGAUUGCAGCCUCACGCCGCCACGCCUGACUGGUUUUCGUAUUUUUUGGGUGGAGACGGGUUUUCGCCGUGUUGGCCGGGCUGGUCUCCAGCUCCUAACCGCGAGUGAUCCGCCAGCCUCGGCCUCCCGAGGUGCCGGGAUUGCAGACGGAGUCUCCUCCACUCAGUGCUCAAUGGUGCCCAGGCUGGAGUGCAGUGGCGUGAUCUCGGCUCGCUA
rnacentral:lncRNA from 1 species